GGGCCGCUAGCUCAGUAGGUUAGAGCAUCUGCCUUUUAAGCAGAGGGUGCCAGGUUCGAAUCCUGGGCGGCUCA
rnacentral:tRNA from 1 species